UACGGGGGGGGCAAGCGUUGUUCGGAAUUACUGGGCGUAAAGGGCUCGUAGGCGGCCAACUAAGUCAGACGUGAAAUCCCUCGGCUUAACCGGGGAACUGCGUCUGAUACUGGAUGGCUUGAGUUUGGGAGAGGGAUGCGGAAUUCCAGGUGUAGCGGUGAAAUGCGUAGAUAUUGGGAAGAACACCGGAGGCGAAGGCGGGUUGCUGGGCCGAUACUGACGCUGAGGAGCGAAAGCGUGGGGAGCGAACAGG
rnacentral:rRNA from 1 species